rnacentral:tRNA from 1 species
GUUUUGAUAGUUUAAGAAAAACAUUGGUCUUGUAAACCAAAAAUAAGACUGGCCCCCACUUUCAAAACU